UUUACUAUGGUUGCAAAUAUCAAAAAAUUUCUAUAUGUGACACGGCACCAGAGUUAGGGUUUUUCAAAAUGCUGACAUGCCGACCUCAAAAGGUUCGCCAUCACUGGUCUAGACUAAUAUCUUACUGUUUUUGUCAGUAUUGAUGGAAUUGAGACCACAUCUCAUUAAUAGAGAUAUUCCCCUUUAUAAGGCUUUAUCUCUUGUGUGUAAAGUUAUUGGCAUUUUGCAGUUUUACUGGAAAUGUUACUGUUUGAAUUGAGCUAAGAUGCUUUAUUUCUGUACUUCUGGAUUUGUGUAAUUCGGUUGUGAGGGGAUUUUUUUUUUUUUAAGAGAAAUUAGUUAACUAAUGUGAGCAUCCAAAGGUCUGGGUGCUGGCAACAGGUUAUGACAAUCCUGGUCACCUAGGAUCUUAGCAUCUAGUAUUGACACAGCCAGUCACAGGUCUUUGUAUAUUAGAUAAGGUGAUUUGGCUCAGUGGUGCAUUGUCCCAUGCACCAGAGGGUAAGGGUGUGUGUGGGAGGCAACUGAUCAGUGUUUCUUCCUUACAUUGAUGUCUCCCUUUCUCUAAAAUCAAUCGUAAAAAAUAUAUAAAGUUUUCUGCAAAUCUCAGUCUACUAAAAUUGGAAAUUAGUCUGUAGUGUUGAGUAGUGCUGUUAACUUACCACCAGGUGGUGUUAUGACAAAUGUGCACCCAAGUAGCAGCUUGGGAAGAGAAAAAUAAACUUACUGAAGAACAGCUGCUCCUUGACUUAAGGUAGUGUUAUAUCCAGAUUAACUCAUGAAUUGAAAAUACCGUAGGUCAGAAAUGCCUUCAGUGAACCUAGCUACCAAAUCAGCCUAGCUUUAAAAUGUGCUCAGAACACUAUAUUUUACAGUUGGGCAAUUACCAUCAGUUUUUAUCUCAAGAGUAAUUACCUUCCUCUUCUCACCCAAAGCAGGAGAUACAGGUGGGCAUUUUGUAGACAUGAUGGAAUGCAAAAACACUACCCCAAACACCCUGGCAACACAGUACACUGUAGAGUAUUAGUUGUUUACCCUUGGGAGUUUGGGACUGACUUGGAGCUGUGGCCCACUGACACUGCCCAGCAUCAUAAGAGAGUAUUGCACUACAUCUUGCUAGCCUUUCUACUGAAUGGGAAUCACCUCUGCACCAUUAUUAAGUUGAAGAAUCAUAAGUUGAACAUUGUCAGUUGGGAGUGUCUGUGCCGAUAGGCAGAAAAGUAUGUAAAUUAUUAGUAUUUAAGUGUGCAGCUUGAAUUGUUAACAUAAACAUCCCUGUAUAGCCAUUACUUGAGAUCAAGAAAGGGAGUUUUUAAACCUUUCAUUUCAGCAAACCAUAGAAGAAAUGUAGAGCUUAGGUGAACACUGAAUAAUCAUAGCUCACCAAGACAUGCAGGCUUCCUAGAGGAUAAUCACUAGCCUCCCCCAAUUUUUCUCAGUGAAUGGUUUUUCUAAUAUAUUUUUUAAAAAUAUAUUACUGAUUUCAGAGGGAGAGAUAGAAACAUCAAUGAUGAGAGAGAAUCAUUGAUUGGCUGCCUCCUGCACGCUCCCUAUUGGGUAUGGAGCCCACAACCCAGGCAGUGCCCUUGAUCAGAAUUGAACCUGGGAUCCUUCAGUCCACAGGUGACACUAUCCACUAAGCCAAACAAGCUAGGGCUGUCGUUUUCUUUACAUCUCAGGUGGUAGCAUCUGACUGGCCAAGUCUGGUAUCUGGCCCAGCUGCCAGAGGUGAGAAGAUAGCUAGCCCCUUUGGCUUUCAUAGUGGAAGUGAGGCCCAAACUCAAAUAUUGCCUCCGUCCCCUCCAAGUGUUCGUGUUAGGCAGCCAAAACUUGUGAAAUAGCCCUUGGGACCCACUGGUGGAAAUACAGCUGCUGGCAAAUGGAAGCAAGUGCCAAAGCCUUUCCUGGGCUUUUUAUCCAAAGGCUCUGAAGAGUUAGCUUGUGGUCAUUAGGAUAUGUGGCAGCUGAUGACAAGAGCUGAGAGCCUAUUGACCAAUCGGGCAAGGAAAGAACACCUACUAAAGUCAGAACUUGGGAAUAGGUCCAGAGAGCAGACAACCAGCAGACAGCUCUGGAGAACCAGGAAAAGGACACAAACGUGGGGCCAGAGGAAAACAAGGAUUUGUUGACAUGAGAUGGGGUGGGGUGGGUUUUUACCUCCAGACAGAAUCUGGGCUUGCAAAACACUUGUGAAGGCUGCUGGAACCCACAGCAGAGUGAUAAUAUGGGGUUCCUGCUCCUCCCAUCUAUGAUCUCCCAAAGGGGUCCAAGAAACCAGCCACAGUCCCCAGCUCACCACCUCAACUUCUGGCUGGGAAGUUAGGCAAAGGCAUGCAGAAGUCAGCCAGGAUGUAGUAGAUUGAAGGAUGCCCUUCUCUGCAGAGCAUUUUACAAGGUACAUUUGAGAGGCCGGGCUUUACAAUUAGAAAUCUGGGUUCAAAUUCUGACACCAACAGAUUCACUGACACUUUGGACCUUUUUGGUUUUUGUUAUCACAGGGCUGUUGUGGCCGUUAAAGGAGAUCUAAAUGCCAGUAUGUCUCUUCUAGUAUUUAUCAUCUAAUAAUAAUUUUGUUUGCAGAUAUUAUUAACAGGUAAGAGCCCAGGCCUUCAAGCCAGAGUCUGGAUUCAAAGAUUGUUUUUCUCACUAUUACCUUAGGGUCAUCAGAUUUUUGAUGUUAUUUAAUCUAAAACAAACCACUUCCGUAUUUGUUGCUAAAGUUACAUUUAUAGUUUGAUAAGCAGCAUGACCAUGGUGAGAAGAUAAUUAUGUGCCCUGAGCCUGCUGUGAAUAUGUCAUUUAAACUUCCCAACAUCCCUGUAAUGGGCGGAUUCCAUUACCUCACUUUACAGCGAUUUUAAUUUGUGCAAUACAUCUUAGGGGAAUGUGUGAUUUCUCUUAGGCUUGGAAAAAUAUUUAGGGUAUCUCAAGAUCCCCACUUCUGAUUUGAGAAUAAGACCAUAGGUUGGGAAGAAGAACUUAUCUGAUCCCAUACCCUCACAUUCAUAAAUAAGAUGGAGCCCCCCAGGAGCUCUGAAGUUGAAAGGAAACCAUUGAGCCUCUGCUGCUCAGUCCUGUAUUGUACCAUUUCACCUAGCCAGGUGCAGCUGGGCCUUUCCCCCCUGAGGGGAGGACUGCUGUGACCUAUUCAUCCUGCCCUCACUGGUGGGCCAUCAACUGCCCCAUAACCGUCACAAGUAUUAGUACUACUCUGAACAUACUGAAAACCAUUGAAUUAUACUUUUUAAAUGGAUGAAUUAUAUCAAUAAAGUCGUGUAUAUGCACAAAUAUAUAUGAAUUAAAACAGCAAACAAUUCCAAAUUUUCCUUGUUUUGAAGGUACAUUUACCCAAAAUGAGCAACAUUCCUUGAAUGCAAUGAACUGCUCAUCAGCUCCCAUGUGUGACUAGAACAUACUCAUAACUGCUUCCAGAUUUCAGAUGCAUGCUGGGAGGACGCCAUGCGGACAGGAAGAUGACCAUCUACAGGCCGAGGGGAGAGGGCUGGACCAAAUCCUUCCCUCGCAGCCCUGCCGACACCUGGAUUUUAGACUCCUAGACUCCAGAACUGUGAGACAAUAAAUUUCUGUUGUCUGA